UACGGGGGGGGCAAGCGUUGUUCGGAAUUACUGGGCGUAAAGGGCGCGUAGGCGGCGCGGGUAGUCAUCGGUGAAAGUUCAGGGCUCAACUCUGAAUCGGCCGGUGAUACUCCCGUGCUCGAGCACUGUAGAGGCAGGUGGAAUUCCGGGUGUAGUGGUGGAAUGCGUAGAGAUCCGGAAGAACACCGGUGGCGAAGGCGGCCUGCUGGGCAGUAGCUGACGCUGAUGCGCGACAGCGUGGGGAGCAAACAGG
rnacentral:rRNA from 1 species